GAUGAACGCUAGCGGCAGGCUUAAUACAUGCAAGUCGAGGGGCAGCACGGUUAGCAAUAACUGGUGGCGACCGGCGCACGGGUGCGUAACACGUAUACAAUCUACCUUAAACAGGGGGAUAGCCUUUCGAAAGAGAGAUUAAUACCCCGUAAUAAAUUGAACGGCAUCGUUUGAUUUUGAAAGCUCCGGCGGUUUGAGAUGAGUAUGCGUCUGAUUAGCUAGUUGGUGAGGUAACGGCUCACCAAGGCGACGAUCAGUAGGGGAUCUGAGAGGACUAACCCCCACACUGGUAC
rnacentral:rRNA from 1 species